GCGAGAGUGGCGGAAUUGGCAGACGCGCCAGACUUAGGAUCUGGUAUCUUCGGAUGUGAGAGUUCGAGUCUCUCCUCUCGCA
rnacentral:tRNA from 1 species